ensembl:misc_RNA Metazoa_SRP Metazoan signal recognition particle RNA
GCUGGGCAUGGUGGCGCGUGCCUGUAAUCUCAGCUACUCGGGAGGCUGAGACAGGAGAAUCACUUGAACCCAGGAGGCAGAGGUUGCAGUGAGCUGAGAUCGUGCCACUGCACUCCAGCCUGGGUGACAGAGUGAGACUCCAUCUCAA